rnacentral:rRNA from 1 species
UACGUAGGGGCCUAGCGUUGUCCGGAUUUAUUGGGCGUAAAGAGCUCGUAGGCGGUUUGGUGAGUCGGGUGUGAAAUCUCCACGCUCAACGUGGAGGGGCCACCCGAUACUGCCAUGACUAGAGUCCGGUAGGGGAGUGUGGAAUUCCCGGUGUAGCGGUGAAAUGCGCAGAUAUCGGGAAGAACACCCAUGGCGAAGGCAGCUCUCUGGGACGGUACUGACGCUGAGACGCGAAAGCGUGGGGAGCGAACAGG